AACGAACGCUGGCGGCGCGCCUAAUACAUGCAAGUCGAGCGAGAAGGCGGGGCAACCCGCUUGUACAGCGGCGAACGGGUGAGGAAUACAUGGGUAACCUACCCUCGAGUGGGGAAUAACUAGCCGAAAGGUUAGCUAAUACCGCAUACGCUUCCGGGGCGACGGUUCCGGAAAGAAAGCGCUUCCGAGGGAAGCGCACUCGUGGAUGGGCUCAUGUCCUAUCAGCUGGUUGGUGAGGUAACGGCUCACCAAGGCUUCGACGGGUAGCUGGUCUGAGAGGACGAUCAGCCACACUGGCACUGCGACACGGGCCAGACUCCUACGGGAGGCAGCAGUAAGGAAUAUUGCGCAAUGGGCGACAGCCUGACGCAGCGACGCCGCGUGGGGGAUGAAGGUCUUCGGAUUGUAAACCCCUUUCGGCAGGGAAGAGGGAGCGGGGCAACCCGCUCGGACGGUACCUGCAGAAGCAGCCACGGCUAACUUCGUGCCAGCAGCCGCGGUAAUACGAAGGUGGCAAGCGUUGUUCGGAUUCACUGGGCGUACAGGGAGCGUAGGCGGUUGGGUAAGCCCUCCGUGAAAUCUCCGGGCCUAACCCGGAAAGGGCAGAGGGGACUGCUCGACUGGAGGCAGGGAGAGGGUAGUGGAAUUCCCGGUGGAGCGGUGAAAUGCGUAGAGAUCGGGAGGAACACCAGUGGUGCAGACGGCUACCUGGCCCUGGCCUGACGCUGAGGCGCGAUAGCGUGGGGAGCAAACGGGAUUAGAUACCCCGGUAGUCCACGCCGUAAACGAUGUGGAGCCGGUGCCGG
rnacentral:rRNA from 1 species